rnacentral:rRNA from 1 species
AUUGAACGCUGGCGGCAGGCCUAACACAUGCAAGUCGAGCGGAGCGGCGGACGGGUGAGUAAUACCUAGGAAUCUGCCUGAUUGUGGGGGAUAACGUUCGGAAACGGAAGCUAAUACCGCAUACUAUCAGAUGAGCCUAGGUCGUAUUAGCUAGGUGGUGAGGUAAUGGCUCACCAAGGCGACGAUCCGUAACUGGUUUGAGAGGAUGAUCAGUCACACUGGAACUGAGACACGGCCCAAACUCCUACGGGAGGCAGCAGUGGGGAAUAUUGCACAAUGGGCGAAAGUCUGAUGCAGCCAUGCCGCGUGAGUGAAGAAGGUCUUCGGAUUGUAAAGCUCUGUAGGUGGGGAGGCGUUACCGACAGAAUAAGCACCGGCUAACUCCGUGCCAGCAGCCGCGGUAAUAC